GCAGUGGCGGUUCAGUGGUAAAAUUCUCGUCUUCCAUGUGGGAGACCUGGGUUCAAUUCCCAGCCAAUGCA
rfam:Loxodonta africana unplaced genomic scaffold scaffold_13, whole genome shotgun sequence.